CCAAGGCCAUUGGUAAAGCAGAGGUUUGAAUACUUUGCCACACUUAUUCUAGUGAAGGCAUUCGGGAAGAGGGAGGGAGUAAUGUGGGAGAGCAGCAUAUAGACUGCUGAAUUAUUCAUGUGCUCCGCCAAGACUGUGACUGGACUGGUUGUGCUAUUUGCAUGCAUCAGACAUGCUGUUUGUCUGUUUGCUAACAUUCCUCAUUCAAAGACUUGUUAACUAGCAGACGGGCUUAGCUUGAGCCUUGCAGACUGCCUCAUGGUCUCCUAUUGUUUCAGGCCUCACCAGUCCUGGACCCGGCCGGUGGCAGGCGAGCCGUGCAGCCCUGAGUUUGGGGGCUUAGACUGUGGCUGGAAGAGGGAGAGAGCCUGGAGCUGAGACUGAGGCUGGGACUGAGGCUGGGAGCUGGGGCUGAGGCGCAGCUGUGAAGGGGACAGUCUGAGGGAAAUCACCGGGUCUUGCAAGAACCACCAAACGGGAGCUUAUGGCGUUCUCCUCUUCUUGACAGGGAUGUGGAUCGGAGCAGGAAGAGCAGCCGAAUUUCGCAUCCCGACCGGACUUGCUUUGAGAAAUCGGCAGCAAGAUGGGUUUUGACUUCAGCCACAGGCAAAAACAAUUUGGCCAACAAGUGAAAUCACGGACAGACAGGCUGGCGAUCGCAGCAGAAUUGAGUAACAGACUUUCCCUCUCGGGGAUUUUCAGAUGGAGGCUACCUGACAUGCCGCUGAAACCGCGAUGGAGGGAGGAGGUGAUUUGCCAGCGUUCCCCCACUUCUCUACGUGUUACAGAGCAGGUGAGAAACAUUAACAGCGGCAGCAGCUGCGGCCCUCUGCUCCACACAUGUGGGCCUGGAUAUGAGCUAGCUCAAGCUCGCCCACUGUCAACGCGGGUCACUAAUGUUAACACUCUCCUCUCGGAGACACACAAACAGGACUGAGGAAAAGGGGGAAAAUGAAAUCAGCACAGACUGUAAGAGAUUUUAGAUUGUUAUAUGUCUUUUUUACAGUUUUCUUGUAUGUUGCAAACAGUAAUGCUUAGCUUUAGUCCAAUGUUUUUGGCCUGUGACCCAUUAAAGCAAAGCAUUUCUGCAUGUAACCCCACGUCACAGGUUGCAUAUGAGCUGUACAUUUUGUAUGAGUUGCAAGAAGUUCACUUGUUUAAUCUAAUUUAUUUCUUGUCUGAUUAGGUAAAAUUUAAGUAUUUCACAAUAUUAAAAAGCAAAUAUUAGAGAUAAUGAGGAAUAAACUGAAUAUGUUUUUUGAGAUAUAUUUUCUAUCAAUAUAAUCAUCACUUAAAGUCUUUGGGGAACUGAUGCUGAAGUGAACCAAUGCGUCUCAUUUGCCAACAUCUUUAAACACUGAUCAUAAGCCUCUUGAAUGCAGACCAAAAUAUGAUCUGGAUACUUUGAAACACUGCUAAAGGAACACUUGAAUAGUUUUGAAGUUAAGCUAUUUUCCCUAAAAUCCUUAUUAUGGACUUAUUAUGGACUAUUAUGUCACUGUACUCUUUCAGUAUUUACUUGUCACAUUGGAAUAUGGAAAUAUCUCGGCUAUACAAUUUGCUUGGGACAUAUGCACCUUGUUGCAUCAUUUGAAUUCCCCCCUCACCUCGAGCCAUGAACCGACUGACCCGGUUGUCACAUUGUGUUCUGAACACCGGUGAGCUGUCCCAGAGGAGAGUGGCAUGUGUAUUCGUGUUUCUGUGAAUCAUAACUGCUGUUUUGUAUUCAUUGAGGUGUGUCAAAGCGGAUUACCUGCAUGAAUGAGGACCUGAAACGACUUUGUUUUUAAAGACUGUCCUUUGGGGUGAGGUAGUAGGUUGUAUAGUUUUAGGGUCACACCCUUCCUGUCAGAUAACUAUACAACUUACUGUCUUUCCUGAAGUGGCUGUAAUGUCAUCAGAUGCCAUUGUUGGAGCUUUUGGAUCUGGAUCAACACUGGAAUGUGCAUGUUUACAUACUGACUGCUAACAUAACUCUUUGCAGCAUUUAAUCCAGGUAGGUCAUUCAUGCUUUAGGUAGUUUUCCAUCUCAUGAUUGUCGUGGUCGCACUUUAAAGGUGCAAUAUGUAAGAAUUUUGAUUAGCUAACAUUAUCAAUAGAAUCUGGAGAAGUGACAGUUUUGAAGUUAUGUCAAAGACAUAUUGUGUUGCAGAGAUAUCUACUGAAGUUAGCAUGCUAAGCCGCCUCGAGCCGUUCUUUCUCAUACUACCAGGAGCGAUAGUCUGAUAAUAUAGCUCAGGCCUCGGGAGGGGGCGCUGACCGAUGUCCGACCUCCCUCUUGCUCCCGUUUCACGUCUCUCCUGAACCCGUCGUGUCUCCAUCAUCUCCUGACUCAGAGUCCUGGUUUGAGCCGCUCUAAAUCACCUCGCUGCAGUAUUUCCUGUCGUCGAACUGGCCUCCAUCCAUGUUGGAGGUUUCGGUCCUGACCGUGUUCACUGGGAGGCUGUUGAACCCGUUUCCGUAGCCCACACACACUGCUCCAGUUCUGGUCUCUGCACCGGGCCUAAGAAACCUCUUCCUGCCCGUCCAAAGCUCUUGUGCUAGCAGUGUAAACAACACCAACUAAGAGAGUCAGCUACUAGCUAACUGUGUGGCUAACUGAGCUAACUAGCUAACAUCAGCUUCAGUUAGCCACAGUUAGCAGUUACUCUGGUGAUAUGCUGCUCCUUAUUUGUAUGAACUCAGUGCCAGUUCUUACAUAUUGCACCUCUAAGACUUUCUUUUCAAUAAAAAAUGUCUUUUUAUCGUAAGUGUGUUUAUGUUUUUCUGGUUCACUUUGGUACCAAACAAAAUAUUUUCUUCCUGUCUCAUCAGACGCUGUAUAUUGUAAACCUUUAUGCAAACCUGCUCUGUCGUUCCUCCUUCCUUAGCUCCUAUCUGUCUUUUUAACAUUUUUUCCUUGCAUGUGAUCAUGACACGAUUUUAGGAUUUUGCCUGAUCAGUUCUGACUGUUUGUAAUGUUUGUGCUAAAUUAAAUCGAUGUACAUGAUAUAAAGUCUUCACCAUGUGAAAAUGUAUGAGGAUAUAUUUAUUUCGAUGUAGUGUUUAUAUGUCACAUCGCUCUCCAGUAUAAGUUGCACCAAAGACAACCUGUAGGACGUUUCUGAUGUUCGAACGGGAUGAGGUAGUAGGUUGUGUGGUUUCAGGGUAGUGAUUUUGCCCAAUCAGGAGAUAACUAUACAACCUACUGCCUUCCCUGGAGGGCAGCAAUACUUCGCCAUAAAGACAACAGAGGGCAUCUCGUUCAUAGAAAAAGUUCCAUAAUCAACAAACCAAACCAGGUCAACCGUCUGGCCGUGAGCCGCCACUGCGCUUCUCACCUGUAACGUGGGCGUCCGCAGUCAGCAGGUAAAGUCUGUUCAGUAUGGGAUUUGAUUUUUUCUGCUUCAAACAUUAAUAAAAAAUGGGAUAUUGAA